GGCUCGGUUGAGCGGUCGGCCGCAAGGUCUGUACUGCUCUGGCUGGGUCUUUCUUUCUGGAAAGCCAGCAUGUCCUUUACUGGGUGUGCUGGUGAUCCAGGACUUUUACUUUGAAAAAAUUAGAGUGUUUAAAGCAGGCUCACGCUUGAAUACAUUAGCAUGGAAUAACGAAAUAGGACG
rnacentral:rRNA from 1 species